rnacentral:rRNA from 1 species
CCUACGGGAGGCAGCAGUGGGGAAUAUUGCACAAUGGGGGAAACUCUGAUGCAGCGACGCCGCGUGAAGGAAGAAGUCUUUAUGUAUGUAAACUUCUAUCAGCAGGGAAGAAAAUGACGGUACCUGUCUAAGACUCACCGGCUCACUACGUUACAGCAGCCGCGGUAAUACGCAGGGGGCAAGCGUUAUCCGGAUUUACUGGGUUUAAAGGGGGCGUAGGCGGUUUAGCAAGUCAGAAGUGAAAGCCCGGGGCUCAACGCCGGGACUGCCUUUGAAACUGUUGAACUAGAUUGCAGGAGAGGUAAGUGGAAUUCCUGGUGUAGCGGUGAAAUGCGUAGAUAUUAGGCGGAACACCAGUGGCGAAGGCAGCUUACUAGACUGUAAAUGACGCUGAGGCUCGAAAGCGUGGGGAGCAAACAGGAUUAGAUACCCCAGUAGUC